AAUAGGAGGCUGCUGAGAUAAGCCUGAGUUCUGACCGGGAGGAAAGGCUCUUUCUUUCUUUUCCAACUUUGUUAUCUUGUGUUUUAGGAUGGGCAACACAUGAUCCCAGAACAGAGGAAUAGUGUUCAGGAGUUAGAACACGCUCAGAGGUGUAAGAACUUGAAAGGUGAAGAAAGUUCAUUAAAGGGUUCAACGUCAUGAAACCAAGCUCACCGUUUCAUCUGGCUUCCAGAUUGAGAAGACAAAAGAAGCAGAGACCCCACUGACCCACAGCCUGCUGGGGAGCUACAGCCAGCCAGUAUUCCUCCUUCGAGCAGUCAUUGUUACCUACAGUUUUACAGCACUGGAG